GCCUAAAACCUAGCUUUACUUCCUCGCAUAAACACUCUUAACUUUUCUUCAACAAUAAAACAUUUUUAAUUAUUUAGUACAGGCGAUCAAAAAAUACCUUAAAGCUACAAAAAUAGUACCGCAAGGGAAAGGUGAAAUAGUAAUGAAAUAACUCUUAAGCCAAAAAAAGCAGAGAUAAAACCUCGUACCUUUUGCAUCAUGGUUUAGCAAGUCUAACCAAGCAAAACGCAUUUUUAGUUUGACCCCCCGAAACUAAGCGAGCUACUUUAAAACAGCUUUUAGAGCAAACCCGUCUCUGUUGCAAAAGAGUGGGAAGAUUUUAAAGUAGAGGUGAUAAACCUACCGAGCUUAGAGAUAGCUGGUUAUUCAGGAAAGGGAUUUAAGUCCUACCUUAAGUCUCCUUAUAAUUUCUAAUACUUCAAUAGACUUAAGAGCCAUUCAAAUAAGGUACAGCCUAUUUGAACCAGGGUACAAACUACUGCGAC
rnacentral:rRNA from 1 species